GACGAACGCUGGCGGCGUGCUUAACACAUGCAAGUCGAACGGAAAGGCCCGGCUUUUGGGGGGUGCUCGAGGGGCGACCGGGUGAGUAACACGUGAGUAACCUGCCCUUGACUUUGGGAUAACUUCAGGAAACUGGGGCUAAUACCAGAUAAGAGCUCCUGCUGCAUGGUGGGGGUUGGAAAGUUUCGGCGGUUGGGGGGUGAAUCGCGGCUUAUCAGCUUGUUCGUGGGGUGGUGGCUUACCAAGGCUUGGAAGGGUGGCCUGCCUGGGAGGGUGACCGGCCCCACUGGGCUUGGACUGCGGCCCGGCCCCGUCCGGGACGCAGCAGUGGGGAAGAUUGCACUAUGCGCGGAGGCCUGAUGUAGCAACGCCGCGUGCGGGAUGACGUCCUUCGGUUUGUAAACCGAUUCCGCUUUUGCCGAAGCGUUAGUGACGGUAACGGGUAAAUAAGCACCGGCUAACUCCGUG
rnacentral:rRNA from 1 species